AGUGAACGCUGGCGGUAGGCCUAACACAUGCAAGUCGAACGGCAGCACAGUAAGAGCUUGCUCUUACGGGUGGCGAGUGGCGGACGGGUGAGGAAUACAUCGGAAUCUACUUUUUCGUGGGGGAUAACGUAGGGAAACUUACGCUAAUACCGCAUACGACCUACGGGUGAAAGCAGGGGAUCUUCGGACCUUGCGCGAUUGAAUGAGCCGAUGUCGGAUUAGCUAGUUGGCGGGGUAAAGGCCCACCAAGGCGACGAUCCGUAGCUGGUCUGAGAGGAUGAUCAGCCACACUGGAACUGAGACACGGUCCAGACUCCUACGGGAAGCAGCAGUGGGGAAUAUUGGACAAUGGGUGCAAGCCUGAUCCAGCCAUACCGCGUGGGUGAAGAAGGCCUUCGGGUUGUAAAGCCCUUUUGUUGGGAAAGAAAAGCAGCAGGUUAAUACCCCGCUGUUCUGACGGUACCCAAAGAAUAAGCACCGGCUAACUUCGUG
rnacentral:rRNA from 1 species